rnacentral:rRNA from 1 species
UACGUAGGUGGCGAGCGUUGUCCGGAUUUACUGGGCGUAAAGAGCGCGCAGGCGGUCGUACAAGUCGCGUGUGAAAGCCCCCGGCUCAACUGGGGAGGGUCACGCGAUACUGUUCGACUCGAAGGCAGGAGAGGGUAGUGGAAUUCCCGGUGUAGCGGUGAAAUGCGUAGAUAUCUGGAGGAACACCGGUGGCGAAGGCGGCAUCCUGGACCAAUACUGACGCUGAGGAGCGAAAGCCAGGGGAGCAAACGGG